UCUCAGUCAUCUGGUAUUUUUGUUUCU
rnacentral:piRNA from 1 species